rnacentral:rRNA from 1 species
GCUAGCUACAGGCUUAACACAUGCAAGUCGAGGGGCAGCAUGGUCUUAGCUUGCUAAGGCCGAUGGCGACCGGCGCACGGGUGAGUAACACGUAUCCAACCUGCCGUCUACUCUUGGACAGCCUUCUGAAAGGAAGAUUAAUACAAGAUGGCAUCAUGAGUCCGCAUGUUCACAUGAUUAAAGGUAUUCCGGUAGACGAUGGGGAUGCGUUCCAUUAGAUAGUAGGCGGGGUAACGGCCCACCUAGUCUUCGAUGGAUAGGGGUUCUGAGAGGAAGGUCCCCCACAUUGGAACUGAGACACGGUCCAAACUCCUACGGGAGGCAGCAGUGAGGAAUAUUGGUCAAUGGGCGAGAGCCUGAACCAGCCAAGUAGCGUGAAGGAUGACUGCCCUAUGGGUUGUAAACUUCUUUUAUAAAGGAAUAAAGUCGGGUAUGCAUACCCGUUUGCAUGUACUUUAUGAAUAAGGAUCGGCUAACUCCGUGCCAGCAGCCGCGGUAAUACGGAGGAUCCGAGCGUUAUCCGGAUUUAUUGGGUUUAAAGGGAGCGUAGAUGGAUGUUUAAGUCAGUUGUGAAAGUUUGCGGCUCAACCGUAAAAUUGCAGUUGAUACUGGAUAUCUUGAGUGCAGUUGAGGCAGGCGGAAUUCGUGGUGUAGCGGUGAAAUGCUUAGAUAUCACGAAGAACUCCGAUUGCGAAGGCAGCCUGCUAAGCUGCAACUGACAUUGAGGCUCGAAAGUGUGGGUAUCAAACAGGAUUAGAUACUCUGGUAGUCCACACGGUAAACGAUGAAUACUCGCUGUUUGCGAUAUACAGCAAGCGGCCAAGCGAAAGCGUUAAGUAUUCCACCUGGGGAGUACGCCGGCAACGGUGAAUC